CCGGCGAUGUCCGAAUGGGGAAACCCAGUGCAAUUCGUUGCACUAUCGUUAACUGAAUACAUAGGUUAACGAGGCGAACCGGGGGAACUGAAACAUCUAAGUACCCCGAGGAAAAGAAAUCAACCGAGAUUCCCCCAGUAGCGGCGAGCGAACGGGGAGCAGCCCAGAGUCUGAAUCAGCUUGUGUGUUAGUGGAACGGUCUGGAAAGUCCGACGGUACAGGGUGAUAGUCCCGUACACCAAAAUGCACAGGUUGUGAACUCGAAGAGUAGGGCGGGACACGUGGUAUCCUGUCUGAAUAUGGGGGGACCAUCCUCCAAGGCUAAAUACUCCUGACUGACCGAUAGUGAACCAGUACCGUGAGGGAAAGGCGAAAAGAACCCCGGCGAGGGGAGUGAAAAAGAACCUGAAACCGUGUACGUACAAGCAGUGGGAGCACCUUCGGGUGUGACUGCGUACCUUUUGUAUAAUGGGUCAGCGACUUAUAUUCUGUAGCAAGGUUAACCGUAUAGGGGAGCCGCAGGGAAACCGAGUCUUAACUGGGCGUUAAGUUGCAGGGUAUAGACCCGAAACCCGGUGAUCUAGCCAUGGGCAGGUUGAAGGUUGGGUAACACUAACUGGAGGACCGAACCGACUAAUGUUGAAAAAUUAGCGGAUGACUUGUGGCUGGGGGUGAAAGGCCAAUCAAACCGGGAGAUAGCUGGUUCUCCCCGAAAGCUAUUUAGGUAGCGCCUCGUGAAUUCAUCUUCGGGGGUAGAGCACUGUUUCGGCUAGGGGGUCAUCCCGACUUACCAACCCGAUGCAAACUACGAAUACCGAAGAAUGUUAUCACGGGAGACACACGGCGGGUGCUAACGUCCGUCGUGAAGAGGGAAACAACCCAGACCGCCAGCUAAGGUCCCAAAGUCAUGGUUAAGUGGGAAACGAUGUGGGAAGGCACAGACAGCCAGGAUGUUGGCUUAGAAGCAGCCAUCAUUUAAAGAAAGCGUAAUAGCUCACUGGUCGAGUCGGCCUGCGCGGAAGAUGUAACGGGGCUAAACCAUGCACCGAAGCUGCGGCAGCGACACUAUGUGUUGUUGGGUAGGGGAGCGUUCUGUAAGCCUGCGAAGGUGUGCUGUGAGGCAUGCUGGAGGUAUCAGAAGUGCGAAUGCUGACAUAAGUAACGAUAAAGCGGGUGAAAAGCCCGCUCGCCGGAAGACCAAGGGUUCCUGUCCAACGUUAAUCGGGGCAGGGUGAGUCGACCCCUAAGGCGAGGCCGAAAGGCGUAGUCGAUGGGAAACAGGUUAAUAUUCCUGUACUUGGUGUUACUGCGAAGGGGGGACGGAGAAGGCUAUGUUAGCCGGGCGACGGUUGUCCCGGUUUAAGCAUGUAGGCUG
rnacentral:rRNA from 1 species